rnacentral:rRNA from 1 species
CCAAUAGCGUAUAUUAAAGUUGUUGCAGUUAAAAAGCUCGUAGUUGAAUUUCAGGCCUGGCUGGACGGUCCGCCCUUCGGGUGAGUACUGUCUGUGGUCGGGUCCUACCUUCUGGCGAAGCGUCAUGGCCUUAACCGGCCGUGGCGGGGAACCAGGACUUUUACUGUGAAAAAAUUAGAGUGUUCAAAGCAGGCAAUCGCUUGGAUACAUUAGCAUGGAAUAAUGGAAUAGGACAAUGGUUCUAUUUGUUGGUUUCUAGGACCGUUGUAAUGAUUAAUAGGGAUAGUUGGGGGCAUUAGUAUUCAAUUGUCAGAGGUGAAAUUCUUGGAUUUAUUGAAGACUAACUACUGCGAAAGCAUUUGCCAAGGAUGUUUUCAUUAAUCAAGAACGAAAGUUAGGGGAUCGAAGACGAUCAGAUACUGUCGUAGUCUUAACCAUAAACUAUGCCGACUAGGAAUCGGGCGAUGUUGAAAAAAUGACGCGCUCGGCACCUCAUG